CAUUCGCGUCGCACUGUUCAUUAGAGCUCGAAGUAAAUGACGCUUUUGCCCUUAAUUUUUUCUUAAAUUACAUCCCUGCCAUUCAGUCUGUUAUAAGCACCCGCCGACAGUAGAAUGCUAGAACUCCAGAAGGUUCAGGUUUUUUUGCUCUCUCGCUUCUCCUUAUCAACUUGACAGUGGUCCAGAUAUUUAGCAACUGGAGGGUUUGAUUAGAUACGCGGCAAAUCUACCCUAAUCCCUUAGACCCAAGUCAAAAUCCACAUCAAAACCCAAAAAUCACUACCAAAAAAGAGGAACAGAGCAAGAGAGUUGUGAGCAACAAGAACAGUGUUGACGCCAUAGCUUCCAAAACAGAGCCGACCCAGAAGCUGGUCUUCUCAGACGAGUACAAAGCCACCAUCUUUGCUGCAGAACCAAGCUCAGAAGCACAGCCAACAAUGCAAAAAUCUCAGAGGUGAUAGAUGGUGCGAUCUGGAUUUGAUAAUCUGUGUUUCUUUCUUUUGUUAUUGUAUCCAGUAGUCUGCGUGUUGAGUAAUUGGGAGCAUCGCAAAAGCUUGUGUUUUGCGUUUUGAUUGGAUCCAGUUUGUGAUGAGACGAUUGGGUUUAGAACAAGUAGAACAGUCUUUGCAAAAUCUCAGACACUGCAACAGAAAAGAGAAGAAGGCAAAUUAGUUUGAUCUGCAAUUUCACAAUCCUUGCAAAACCUUGGGCACUGCAAUACAGAAGAGAAGAAGCCAAAUCAGUUUGAUCUCCAAUUUGACAAGAGAGAUGCCAUCAAGCUGUACCGCAUCGAUCAAGCUCUGAGAUACAGAGGUUGGGUUGAAAAUGAGUACAAAAUUUCACCAUCUACGGGUACCAGGGAAUCUCACUGUUUUUGCUUCCUUCACUGGUCAAUCUGACCAGGUAUUGAAUCAAAUACCCGGAUUAUUAUCUUUUGAAAUUGCGUUGAGAAAAGCAAGAGAGCUCCAGGCCUAUGUUGACGUGGUUGGUUCCUGUACUGGAAUGGUUCAUUUACAUAGUUGGCGUACUUAUUAUGAACGGUGUGAGAUUACUACUACCAAAAGUUGUGCCUUUUGAAGAUUAUUGCUGGUUAGUAUCUUUUUUUCCACGCUGGAUUUGUCAAUGUCUAAAUGGAAUGUGAUUCACAAGCAGCUGCUCCAUCUUUUUCGAAUCACUCACAAUUGGCCUCAGCAAAACCACGCACUCUGGAGGAAGCAACUUUUUGGACAUCCUCCAUGACUAGCUAUCAAUAGGCUAACACCGUUUGAGAAUAUACACCUGCUAAUGGACAUCAUACAACUAUUUUUUGCAAACUAUUGCAGCAGCAGUUGUAAUUAGCUUUAAACUAUGACAACCUAUUUUUUGAACACACUACCACAACAUAUGUAUUGGUGGUUAUGUUGCUAGAACAUGAUCUACUUCAUCUUUUGUUGUAAAACAGAUAAUCUUUUGUUAAUAUAAUGAUUAUGUCGACUAUAUUUUCUAUG